AUGCGCGCCGCGCCGCCGGCCGCGCGGCUUCUGCCGCUGCUGGUGCUGCUCGCGCUCCUGGCCGCGCCCGCCGCCCGCGCCAGCAGAGCCGAGUCCGCCGCCCCGCCGCAGUCCGGAUCCGAGCGCCAGCCGCGGCCACCGCCCGGCCCUGGGCCCGGGAACGCCACCGGGAUGGGCUCCGGGGAGGCGGCGGGCGGCGGCGGCGGCGGCAGCUCCAACAGCAGCGGUGACGCCCUGGUGACCCGCAUCUCCAGCCUGCUCCGCGACCUGCCCACCCUGAAGGCGGCCGUGAUCGUGGCGUGCGCCUUCUCCGCCUUCCUCAUAGCCUGCCUGCUGCUGCGCGUCUUCAGGUCGGGGAAGAGGUUGAAGAAGACCCGCAAGUAUGACAUCAUCACCACUCCAGCUGAGCGAGUGGAAAUGGCCCCGUUGAACGAAGAGGAUGACGAAGACGAGGACUCCACAGUAUUUGACAUCAAAUACAGGGGGGAACUGCUUUGAUCUCUCCCAGGAACGCGCAGCACCCAGAAAGCCAGCAGGGAAGUGCUUGCAGGGAAAUGCUUAUUCUCAACUCUUUCCUGACGAGAACCCUUGAGAAGUCAGCUUUGUGGGCGCGAAAGGAGAGCUGAAUUUCGGACAACGAGCUUGUCAUGUACAGACUGUGGGGAAUCUGGUCCAAGCAACCGCCAUGUACCAUGCGCCAUGCACACAAAUGGAAACUUGUUUUUCAGCCUUGCUUAGUUGUGGGAAGUCUGCCGAGGGCCCCCCGGCACCUGGUGGUGUGGUCCUCAUGUCUGUCUGUCUCAGGAGAACUCACACACGUGGCCUGGUUUCCUCCCUCGGCUUCUCCAUUCCGUGGCUGCUGUGCCGUCUUCCUGAGGUGUCCUCGUCUGCUGCACCGAGGGGUCAGCUGCCAGCGUGCAAGACAGGUGCUGAGACAGGUGCUCCUGUGUGGAGGGCUCUUUCUGCCAACAGACAAACUUCUUGUAAAACAUGGGACAGGGACAGGUUGGGGCAUGUCCCUCUCCUUCUCUGGGAUGGCUGUAACCCAAUGUCGCUGUACAGGACGGUUGCAAGUCGGAAGAGAAUAAGCAUGGGUCAUGGCACCUAAACGUGCCUUUACUUCACCUGGAGUUUCCAGGGAGUGUGGGAGCGGGGUCUGCAUGGACCACCUUUCUGGUUAAUCUUAGUGACAAAGCAGGGAUGUCAAUAGCAGUUUGGCUUUUCUGGAGGACGGAAAGGGCCCAGAGAUCCCUCUUAGAAAUCUCUGCUUGUCAUCUUCUACGUGCACCCAGCUCACUGCAAAUGCAGGAUGGGUAAGCCUGGCCCUGCCCUCUGGGAGCUUGUGCUGAGGUGGGGUGUCCAGGAACAUGGACUCUUAUAAGAGGACCUGGUAAACGCCACAGGGAGGAAAGAACAGGGUGCUGUGGGCAGCCACCAGGGGCACAUCUCCCUGGCACCUCUUCCCAGAGGAGAUGAAGCUUAGAGGGGGUUUGGAAGGACAAGGGAGUGAGCCUGGAGCACAUUGACGGGCAGGGAGGAGUGAGGGCAUCCGAGGAAGAAGUAAUAGCAUGUCGACAGGUGCGAGUUUGAGCGGGUGUAGGGCCAACCGGGUGAGCUGCAUCUGUGAGCCUGUCCCCCCAGGACCCUCCCCUGGGGAGAGCCCCAAAGCUUCAUGGCCUCAGGGGAACAGCGGGAUGAAAAGAAGAGGGCCGGGACUUUACAACCUUCCUCCUCACCCCAGUCCCUCUGUCGGUUUUCCCCAGAGCUGCCCGAGUCACAGUCACACCAGAGAGUCUGAAGGGCAGCGAAGCACACUGCUCGGACUUGAGGUCCAGAGCUGGUGACCUCUGAGGUGUUGGCACGCGCCCAGGGAAGCUGCUCCCCGUGGGGCAGGCGAGCACAUCUGUUUUCUUUUUCCAGGAGCAGCCCUGGAGAUUUAGUUCUGCUGAGGAGGGAGCCUGCGGAAUCAGAUGUGCUUGAUGGUUCGUGGUGGCUCCCCUACUGCUCCGUCUCUACCCGCUGUGUGUGUGUGUGUGUGUGUGUGUGUGUGUGUGUGCGUGCGCGCGCAUGCGCGCGCGCGCGUUUCUUCCUAUAAGCACAAGGAGUCAACAGCUGCUCACAGGGGGUUGGGGUGCAGGCAGGGAAGCUGGCAGAGCAUCCCGGGGUGUGCCCUUGGGGCAUCCGGAAGAUGCAGUUCAACGAAAUAGCAAUCUUGGGACACCUGCGAAGGUGAAUUUUCAAUGCGUUGGCGGUAUAUAAAGUUCACAUCUCUGCGAAUUCUGACGGUCUGCUGUUUCCAGAUUCAGCAGGCUGAAUCUACCUGACUCCGUAGUCUGCUUUUGUUCAUAUGCACACCUGCUCUGGGUAGCUCUUGGGAAUCGGGUCCCUUUACUCUGGUCCGAUUCUUGGUUUUUGAAAGCUUUGCUGCUCCGUCUCCAGUCCCCUGGCCCCGACCCGUCACGCUCAACAUUGAACUUGCAGCAGGAUGCAGGGGAAGACCUGACUGUGGGGUCAAGGCCGCUGGGAGUCUUAACAUUUGAGGUCCUCAGGCUGCAUCUGUAGAGUGGGGGUGUCUGGGCUCCGUGGAUGUCAGUAAGCGGGGGUGAGCCCCCCUCUUCCUAGCCCAGAGGAGGGGGCAUGUGGGUGACGCAAGAAAACCAGCCUUCACAGCGUGGACAUGGCCGUGGGGAUUUAUCUUUUUUUUCCUCUAAUCUGUUGAACAGGGGACCCUAGUGGUCAAUACGAGGAUACCCAUGUCUAUUUUUUUUAAAUUUGGAAAUAAUUUCAAACUUAAAAGUUGCAAGACAAAAACAGUAGAGAGAACACCCAGAUACCCUUUACCUAGAUUUUCCUAUUUUAAAAUUUUGCCUCACUUGUCUUAUGAUGGCUCUGUGUGUUCAGAUUUUUUUUUUCUGAACCAUUUUCUGAACGCGUUACGUCUCUCAUGUCCCUUUCCCCCCAGUACUUAAGUGUGUAUUUCCUAAAAAUAUGAUGUCCAUAUCUUUCAGUAAUUAGUUACCUGAUAUUUAUAUUUGGGAUCAUGUAAUGUUAUGAAAAGCAGUUUAUUAUUUGAUAAGUUCUAUUAAGUCUCCACUGUUUUUCCAUGUGAUUAUGUAAUGCCCACGUUCAAACAUUAAUAGAUGCUGGGGACCUCUCAAAUUUUCCCUCCUUUUCUAAAUCCCUUUGGAUGAUGUCUUGAAUAGAUUCAGUUUUUCAACUUUCACCCAUUGUACAAAUAUUUCUUGCACCCCCUUCGAUUGUCUGACACUGUGCUUGGUGCUGGGGUUUAAACGUGAACAAGCUCCGACAAGGGUCUCACCCUCAGGGAGCUCCCAGUCUAGGCAAGAGACAGACACGAAUCAGAUAAUUACAUAAACCAUAAACCAGGGGCCAGCAGGCUAAGGGCCCUGGGCCAGAUCAGCCCACUGCCUAUUUUUGUAUGGCUCCUGAGCCAAGAAUGAUUUUUACAUUUUUGAUGGUUGAAAAAGAAGCAAAAGAAGAAUAACAUGUAAAAAUUAAAUGCAAUUCAAACCUCAGUGUCCACAAAUAAAGUUUUAUUGGAACACAGCCAUGCCAAGCAUUUCCAGCAGCAGGGUUGAGCAGUUGCCAUGAAAACUAGAGGACCUGCAAAGUCAAAAAUAUUUAGUACCCUCUGGACUUUUACAGGGGAGGUUUGCCGAGCCCCGGUGUAAACUCCCACAGAAGUGCUAGGAAGGAGGAUUACAAGGAUAAGAGAGGUGGUGUUCUAGGGGUCUGUGUGGGGACCUAGGAAAGCAUCCUGAGGUGGGAGCUGAGGGAAGGGAAGGCGUUACCUGGAGGAGUGGGUGUGCGUUCCAGGCAGCACUUUCAAAGGUCCUGGGGUUGAGGAGGGUGGCGUUUUCAAGGGCUGAAAAGGCAGCUUGUGUGGCAGGAAUAGAGAUGGGGGGUGAGAGAGAUGGAGGCACUGCUGGAGGGGCAUGGGGAGGGGUGUCAACUGCC